CCUACGGGUGGCAGCAGUGAGGAAUAUUGGUCAAUGGGCGGAAGCCUGAACCAGCCAAGUCGCGUGAGGGAUUAAGGCCCUGCGGGUCGUAAACCUCUUUUGCCGGGGAGCAGUUGUCCGGACGCGUCCGGACCGGGAGAGUACCAGGAGAAAAAGCAUCGGCUAACUCCGUGCCAGCAGCCGCGGUAAUACGGAUGGGGCAAGCGUUACCCGGAUUUUUUGGGUGUAAAGGGCGGGUAGGCGGGAGCGCAAGUCCGAUGUGAAAACUGGGGGCUCAACCCUGCGACUGCAUUUGAAACUGUGGUUCUUGAGUGCUGGAGAGGCAAUCGGAAUUCCGGGUGUAGCGGUGAAAUGCGUAGAUAUACGGAGGAACACCAGUGGCGAAGGCGGAUUGCUGGACAGUAACUGACGCUGAGGCGCGAAAGCGUGGGGAGCGAACAGGAUUAGAUACCCGUGUAGUC
rnacentral:rRNA from 1 species